ACAGGUUUGAAAGCUAAAUUUCAAGAUCACGAGUCCAGCAUGUCAGACUCUGAAUGAAGACCUUCUCCCCUGUGAUGUCCUUGAGUGAUGAGUGGCUGAUUUAGGGCAAUUCAGAGAGAUGCCCACCUAGCUAAGGAUGCUCCAGUGAUGCCCCACCCUAAAAGAAAAACUAAUGUUAGGACACAGCUAUAGCUGAAGCCCUAAGGAGGAGAGGAAUCGCCUUAGAUUCCCGAGGGAAACAACUGGAACCUUCCUUUUCAUCUGUCAUAUCAAGUUCUCACCUCCGUUGGCACCACCACCACCAAGCCACCUUCAACCCCAAAAGAAGGAGAAGAGAGGCGACAGAAACUAACAAAGAAGAUCCAGAGUCGUAUUAUUUCACCUCAAAGGACUCUGGCUGCUGUCACUCACAGACCUUCUGGACACUUCCCUUGGACUUGUGGGGAUGGCACUGACAUACCCUUUCUGAGUAGGGGUGAGAGUGUGGGCUCACCAUCUUGGAUCCAAGUAUCCUUUACUGAUGACAUCCCUAGAGUCACGUGAAGAAAAGAAAGACGCUUCACAGAGAAAAACAACCUAACAAUUUUCUGUCUGGUGGAGAUGGUAGCACAGAGGAGAAGUUUUAAACUUUGAAGUCCAACCUCUCAAUCUUUUUAUUCUUUUCCUAAUUUUGAGACAGGACCUUGCUAAAUCUCUAAGUGACCAUACUGGGAUCAAACUUGUGAUCUUCCUACUUCAGCUUAGCAGGGUACUGGGAUUACCAGCAUGAUCUACCGUGCCUGGCUCUCACAUACAGUUAUGAUGCUUGAGAUUGAGAAGGAAGAAUGCUUUGCUCAAUUUUCCCCAAUGAUGAACUUAAUCUUGAAUAAAUAUAGCAUAAUAUUACAAACAAAAAAUCAACAUGGAUACAACUCACCAAACUUAGUAUGUGUAUGCAAAUCUAUGAGAGAAGGAGCUAUAAGGGGAGAAAAGAGAGAAGACAAGAGAACAGAGGCCUGACCAUCACCAAGAUUCACAGCCACAAGGAUCCCUUGUGCUGUUCUUGUGUAGCCGAAAGUACCUGCCUCCCUCCUCUGUUUCCUAGUAUGUGACCCCUAUUAAUGUAUCCUCCACUUCAAUAGCUGUGUCAUUUCAGGAAAGUUGUAUAAACAGAAUCAUAUAGGCUGUAACCUUUUCAGAUUGACUUUUUCACUCAGUGCAAUCCCUUGUGUUCCAUCCAGGUGGUGGUGUGUAUCAAUACCUUGCUUCUUUUUAUUGCUGACUGGAAAUUCAUAGUAUGAUGUUCCACGGUUUGUUUAACCAUUUGCCUGUUGAAGGACAUUUGGACUGCUUCCAGUUAUUGGUUGUUAUGAAUAAAGCUGCUAUGAAUAUU